rnacentral:rRNA from 1 species
UUGGCAGUUCAGAGGGUUCGAGUUCUGGCUCAGAACGAACGCUGGCGGCGUGGAUUAGGCAUGCAAGUCGAACGGGAGUUUACGUUGUAGCAAUACUAUGUAAAGUCUAGUGGCGUAAGGGUGAGUAACACGUGGGUAAUGUACCCGAUAGUUGGGAUAACGUCCGAAAGGACGCUAAUACCGGAUGUGAUGUUAAACCGCCGGGUUUAACAAGAAAGGUGGGGACCGCAAGGCCUGCCGCUAACGGAACGGCCCGCGACCUAUUAGCUAGUUGGUGGGGUAAAGGCCUACCAAGGCGAGGAUGGGUAGCCGAACUGAGAGGUUGACCGGCCACACUGGGACUGAGACACUGCCCAGACUUCUACGGAAGGCUGCAGUCGAGAAUCAUUCACAAUGGACGAAAGUCUGAUGAUGCGACGCCGCGUGCGCGAAUGAAGGUCUUCGGAUUGUAAAGCGCUUUGAACAGGGAAGAAUGCCGCGUAUUUAAUAGAUAACGCGGAGGGACAGUACCUGACAAACAAGCCCCGGCUAAUUUCGUGCCAGCCGCGGC